rnacentral:RNase_P_RNA from 1 species
GGAGGUGGACGGAGGAUUGCCGCCGGUACACCGUGUACCGGGGGAGGAAAGUCCGGGCUCCACAGGGCAGGGAGGUGGCUAACGACCACCGGAGGCGACUCUAGGGAAAGUGCCACAGAAACGACACGGCCUACCUCCGUCCUUCGUGGACGGAGCGGCAAAGGUGAAAACGUGGGGUAAGAGCCCACGCGUGACAGCCGGGUGACCGGCGACGGGGUAAACCCCUCCCGGAGCAAGCUCAAAUAGGGACGCCGACGAGGGUGGCCCGCCUGAACCACGCGGUCCCCUCAGGGGGGCGGCGCGGCGGCGUCCGGGUCAGAGCGCUCGAGCCCAGCGGUAACGCUGGGCCUAGACGAAUAAUCCUCAUCAUCGACACCGAAAGGAGUCGGCGGAACAGAACCCGGCUUACAGUCCACUGACGGCC